AGUAUAUGAAUCUUAAAAUAUAUAAUAGAAAGUGGGGUCUUUGCUGGGGAAUCCAUGACAUUUGGGGGUCCUUGACAUCAAAAAAGUUUGAAAACCCCUGUGUAUUAAACUAUGAUCUAUGCGACAAAUGAGUGGCUGUUCUUUGUUUUAAAGACUCAAAAGUGUAAAAUGGAUGUUGGUCUCAACUAGUAUUCAAUCAAAAAACACUGAAGGCAUUUUCUCAGUUCAUGUGCUGUCAUAUUUUCUUCAGGAUUCUUAGCAUUUUGCCUUAGCAGGGCAGCAUAAGCUUCUCUAUGUUUAUUUUUGUAACUGUUUAAAUGAGCCUAGUAUACUAAUUUGUUUUGUCCAUGUCUCUUUCAGCUGUGGCCGUGCUGUUAUGCAUCAUACUGUCAGCAGAAGCAUCUGAUGUCCUGCGAUGCACAGGGGAGAGACAACACGAUGGGCAGUUCUACUUCAACAUGUCGCAUGGCCUUCAAGAGGACGUCGAUGACUGCGAGACCCAAUGGGUCAUCAAUGGAAGCGUGGCAGGGAUUUUUAAUGCUGAUGAAAAUAAGUUCAUACCCCCACUUGUAAUGGCAACAGCAAACAUUGCCCUCUUACAGACCUGCCCUGAAAAACUUGAAUGCCUGCUCAUCUGCCCCUCCGCCAGUGUAAGUGUAAUACUGUUUGUGUUUUAGAUUUUAUGGCCAUCAAAUGAAUUUAAUAGCAUAACCUAACUAACAUUGCUUUGCACCCAUAUGCUUUCUUUAUGGAUUUUUAUUUAUUUUGCAGAUCAACACAAGGGAGCAGUGCUCUUGUAAGUAAUUGACUUACUACUAUAUAAUACUUCAACACAAUUUUAGCACAUAGUAAUAUCGAGUAACUAAAAAUAAAAGACUAGAGAUCUUUUAUUGCCCUAGUAUGUGCAAUAAAGUGAAAUAAAAUUGUUUUGCAGGUGAUAUCACUUCUCCGACUACACUUCCUGAAGGUAAGGUCAACUGCUUAUGCUGUAGCACUGUUUUAAACUAUUAACAUGAAAGUACUCAAAUAAAGUGAUGCCACUGUACACUCACACAUUUUCUGUUAGCAAAAAAAGGCUUUUUUUAGGCCAGCAAACUAGUAUCCUGUUUCAGACACCAGAAUGCUAUGAAUCGCACAUGCUCGGUUUAAUAUUUUUCAAGUUCUUUAAUGACACAAGUGAACAUAAGAGAAAUUUGUCGCUCCAUCAAAAAGUCCAUUCACCCAAAACUGUGGCUCUUAAAAAUCUUAAGAAAGAGAUAAAAAAAAUUAAUCCAUUUGAAUUAAUUGGUUUAAUCCAAGUCUUCUGAAAAGACUCGAUCGCUUUAUAUGAGGAACAGAUUUAAUUUAGUCUAUUAUUCACAUAAACAUUGAUCAGCAAACUGUGUUUACAGUAUUAAAUUUUGUUCACGGAAGCUCAAGCAUGCUUGCUUGAUGUGCAAAAAACAAUGAGGUUAAUUCUUGCGUGUUACACCAGCACAUUUCAGCUUCCGCAAGAACCCAGGGGGUUGUCUUCAUGCAUCAAGCAAGUAUGGUUGAGCUUUAUGUUCGCUGAUCAAUGUUUAUAUGUGAAUAAAAACAUAAAUUAAACCUGUUCACCAUAUAAAGCAAUCAUAUCUCUUCAGAAGACUUGGAUUCUAAUGGAUAUGUUACGAUCUUUUUGAAGUGUCUGAAUUUUGGGUGAAUAGACUUUUAAAUGAGGGACAGCAAUCAGAUUUGAUAUAAAAUAAUUUGUGUUCCGAAGAUAAAUGAAAUUCUUAUGGGUUUGAAAUUACAUGAGUAAAUGAGAGAAUUUUCAUUUUGAGGUUAACGUUGUCACACCUGCUUGCUGGCUGAUACAGAAUGAUCACACUUGAAGAUCAGUUAAGUAUUUAAUGGAAAACAAACAAACAGUGAUAAUCCAAACAAAGAUAACAUCCAGUGACCUGUAGCACGAAGCCGCUUUCCGUUUUUACCCAGGUAAGUUUGUGUUUAGUUUGAGUAAACUCUUGAGUUUUCGGGUUCAAGAAGGUGGGUUGGUUUUGAGCGGGUUUCGUCACCAUGCUUGCGCUACACAGCUCCCCUGCUCCCCGAGCAGGUUUUUAUUCUGGGUUAAAGAUCUCAAACCCAAACUGGACCAAUCAGCUGUGAGAAAAGUUACAUAUAUCUGACGCAAUAAAGCCACCUCUCCAUCUCUCGCUUCAAAUUCAAGCAGUUUAUAGUCAAAGAAUUUUAGAGACAAAAUUGCCAGACUUUUGCG
ensembl:lncRNA